ACUUAGAAAUAGUAUUAAGGGAUUUAAGACCUCCUAGAAGAACUCUAUCCCUCUCAUUUCAUUUUUAACCUAUGAAUAUAUAGCAAGAAAGGUUUAAUCAUUUAAAAAAAUCAGAAAGAAGAAAAGAAAUCAUCUUUGAUAAUCUUUGCUUGAAAAAAUCCAUUUUCAAGCUCCUUUCCAAAAUCUUUUCAUAGAAAAACAUUGUCAAAAACUUUGGUUUUAGUCAUCAAGAAAAUCGUCUUUGAAGGAAGAAAACAGAAAAAAGGAAAGGAAAAUAUAUAAAUAAUGGAAGAAGCUAAAAAAAUUGUUGCAACUUUCACCUCAACAACAAUAUUUUUCAUGUUGAUGAUCAAUAUAAUUCACUUAAACGUUGCGGUAGGAUUACCACACAAAAAGAUUGUUGUCAUAACCAAUAAUCAUACAAAUUAUCUUAGCGUUCGUUGCUUCUCCUUUGAAGACGAUGGCAAUGUUAAGCACCUAAGUACCAUGAGCAGUUUCAAUAUCACUGUCAAAGUCAAAAAUUUCUUCUCCUCUUCAACAAUGUACAAUUGCUCAACAAACAUGGGUACAUUUGUUGCAUUUAAAUAUGAUUAUGGGUGUGUUAGCCGUUCAACGCCUUGUGAAUGGAGAUUUGAUGAGAACUUCACCUAUCGCUAUAGUCCCAAAGACCAAAAGUGGGUUGCUCAUGAAUACAAUCCAAAUUAUGAGUCACUUACUAGAGGAGGCGUCAUCAAAGGAUAUUAUGUUAACUAACUGAUAUUACAAAUGGAUGAAUUUGUGGAGAUCCUCUUUUUCUGGGGGGGCAGGGACACUCAAAAGCUUCAUGGAUAGCUUCCUCAUUUCUUUCUUGUUGACUACAUGCAUAUUAUUCGAUUCAGAGGAAAAGCUUAAAUAUGCUAUUGAUCAGUUCUGAGGGAAAAUAUUUAUUUAUGUCAUUUGUUAAAGUUUGGCUCAUUUAUAAAAUAUCAUUUUCGUCUCAGGAAAAAACUCAUUCAUGUUAUUAUUUGUUAAUUAAAUCCGACUAUGACAAUGUAAUCCAUUCGGUGCCUUGUCAAUGGAAGUUUGAUGAGCCCAGGGACAAAGAGUGGGUUCUUCAAGAAUAUAAUCCGAAUUAUGAGUCUCUUACUAGAGAAGGAGUCAUCAAAGGGUAUUAUGUCAACUAAACAUAACAAUAUAUACAUAUAUAACAAUACUGAAGAUUCAGAUAGUUGAUUCUAACUUGAUUGAUAUCAUAAUUCUCUGUUAGAAAAAGCUAACUAGUGUUUAGUAUAACAUGUAAUAGCGCUGAGAUUUUAGGUAAAUAGGUGAAAGCUAUGGAAGGCCCUUCUAGGGACAUUCAAAAGCUUCGUGGACAACUUUGUUUCCUCCUCAUUUCUUUCCUGGCAACUGCUCAAAUGGGGGACUUGGUAGGCGAGCUAUGAUCUAUAUGGUAAUAGUCAUUUUGUAUCUUAAAGUGUGCUCAUCAAAUGGGCGACUUGGUAAGCGAGCUAUGUUCUGUAUGGUAAUAGUUUUGUCUAAAAAUGUACUCAUCAAGAUACACAAUAUUGAAUUUAAGUUAUGAGCAUA